UUGUAAAGCUAGAAUUCUAACCUUACACCGUUAUCCGGUUAAGGAACAUUCUCUGGUGGGCAGUUUGACUGGGGCGGUCGCCUCCUAAAAGGUAACGGAGGCGCACAAAGGUUUCCUCAGAUCGGUCAGAAAUCGAUCGUAGAGCGUAAAGGCAUAAGGAAGCUUGACUGCGAGACUUACAAGUCGAGCAGAGACGAAAGUCGGUCUUAUUGAUCUGACGGUUCCGAGUGGAAGGGCCGUCACUCAACGGAUAAAAGUUACUCUAGGGAUAAC
rnacentral:rRNA from 1 species